UCGCCACUAGGAGGCGCCGGGCCCUGUCCAGGCCCGCGGUGGGGAGGCGCGUGUGGGUGUGACGUCACUGCGCACGCUGCAUCUUGUUGCCGGGCAGCGAUGGCGGCUACCGUGGAGUCCUCCGUGGAGGACCCGCUGCGGAACUUUGUUCGAGUUUUGGAAAAGCGAGAUGGCACGGUGUUACGACUGCAGCAAUAUGGCUCCGGCGGCGUGGGCUGCGUUGUUUGGGACGCUGCCAUCGUCCUUUCUAAGUACCUGGAAACGCCCGGGUUUUCCGGCGAUGGGCCCCACGCUCUGAGCCGGCGGUCGGUGCUGGAGCUGGGCUCGGGCACCGGGGCCGUGGGGCUCAUGGCUGCUACUCUCGGGGCCGAUGUGGUGGUCACAGAUCUGGAGGAAUUGCAAGACUUGCUGAAGAUGAAUAUUAAUAUGAACAAGCAUCUUGUCACUGGUUCUGUUCAAGCCAAGGUACUGAAAUGGGGGGAAGCAAUAGAAGACUUUCCUUCUCCGCCAGACUACAUACUGAUGGCCGACUGCAUAUACUACGAAGAGUCUUUGGAGCCGUUGUUGAAAACUCUAAAAGAUCUUAGUGGAUUUGAGACUUGUAUUAUAUGUUGUUAUGAACAACGAACAAUGGGAAAAAAUCCAGAAAUUGAGAAAAAAUAUUUUGAGCUCCUACAGCUAGACUUUGACUUUGAAAAAAUUCCUUUGGAGAAACACGAUGAAGAAUAUCGAAGCGAGGAUAUUCAUAUUUUAUACAUCAGAAAGAAAAAAUCGAAAUAGCUUUGAAGAAAAUGAACAUCUAAAGCAGGCUUUCCAGAAAAAGCAAAAGCAGCCCUAUUUAGAGAAAUUGAAGAUCCAAGUCAGAAGAACCAUUCUUUCCUUCAGGCUUUCUUCAGUCUUUAAAGUUUGUUUUGCUGUUCUUUUGGAAAUGCAAAAUCUGGGCAUCUUUUUGAGAGUAUAGGACCCAUGUAAAUAUCACUCCCCCAUCAUGAUGGGAAUGGCACCUGGAGUAGAAGAAGGAUGAGAACGCUGUUCUACACCCCUGUUAUUUGAACAAGCACCUAUGAUGUGUGACUAGGUCCUUGGAAUACAGACAUAAGCAGUUGUGGAUGAAAAGCAAGGUAAGAGUGGAGAAAGAGUAGUAGCUUAUUUCAUAGAGUUUGGUAGGAGUGAGAGCCUUAGGAUUGAGAGAAAGCAGGUAGGAGAGGGUGAAGGGAGAGAGAUUGUGGCUGAAGAUAAUGUGGGGUUACUGGGGAUGGGACACUACGUAAUUUAUGAAGUGAGAUUUAGAGGAUCCCAGAUAGAAGGAAUGCAAUCCAGAACAAAGGCAAAUGGAUUGAUUCUGGAAAGAAGAGGGUCACUACUUCAGUAGACUAAUGGAGUGAAGGAAAGAGAUGAAGCUGCAUUUGGACACGGAUGUCGAAGGGAAGGGGGUUCACCACCAAUGUCCUUGGGUUUUCACUGUUAAAUGAAUCAAAAAGGAGAUUUAGGUCCUGAGAUUAAGGAGCUUAUGCUGCUAAGGAUCCUUGGUGGGUGACUUAGAAGUGCCAUCUGUGACACAGAAAUGCCCAUGUGGCCUGAUUGGGGGAGAUGCAGAAAAAGGGAAGCAGAAGCAAAGUUGGGAAGCAGAGUUAUCCCGAGGAUCAUCUUUCUCUCCUCUCCACUCUCCCCCUUCCACGUACCAGGAUCCUGAAACCCCCAGAGAGUACCCCACUAACCUGGCCCCACCUCCCCUCUUCCCUCAAGAAUGCCCUUUGCCAGCUACCUAUCAACUAAGUGUUGCUCUUGUUUCAGUAGGUGUGCAUGGUUCUGGGUACUUUUCUCUCUCAGAUAAUUGUGAUAGUUUUAAAGGGUGGGGAGGUCCCAGUAGAUUUUGGUUCAUAUAGACUUUACAUCAGCUCUGGAUCAGUAUACCAAAUUGUUAAUUCUCAGAGAGGCAGUUCAGCAAAGUGUCAAUUUGCCAUAUGGCCAACUUGUCAAAUUUACCAAAAUAACCAGUUUCCCAAAGCUUGUUUCAAGGAGUACUCUUUGGAUAUAUUCAUGCAUAUAUUUUUCUCAAAUAUAGUCAGUGAGUAUAAAUAUAUUCUUCAUGCAUAGUCAAUGAUUCUGAAGAUGUCCAACAAAGAAGAAUAUAUUUUUCUUGUGGGUAUAGUUAAUAUGAAUUUGUUAUAAGCUGGAUUGUGCCCUUCCAAAAUGCAUAUGUUGAAGUCCUAACCCCCCAUUAUCUCAGAAUGUGACUGUUUGGAAAUAGGGUUUUUAAAAAUGUAAUUAAGUUAAAAUGAGGUCAUCAAAUAGAUCUAACCCUGUAUGACUGGUAUCUUUAUAAGAAGAGAAGAUUAGGACACAGACAGGUACAGAAGGAAGAAGAUGUGAAGACACAGGGAGAAGAUGGUCAUCUACAAGCCAAGGACAGAGGCCUCAGAAGAAACCAAGCCAACACCAUUAUCUUGGUCUUCUAGCCUCCAGAACUGUGAGAAUAUACAUUUCUGUUGCUUGAGCUACCCAGUCUGUGGUAAUAUGUUAUGAGUGGCCCUAACACACUAACACGAUAAUGUUAUGACUAUAUUUUAAAAUAUAAUAUAUAUUUCAUUAAUAUUUUUUAAGGAAUGUUUGAUUUGUAUUAAAUGUUUGAGUUUUAGAGCAGUUUAGUCUCCUCAAAUAUAUUCAAGAAGAAAAUAUUCAUUUAACAUUUUAAAAGCCUUAACAUAAAUCUGUUCAAAUUCAUUGAUUCUUUUUAGGAAGAAUAUUUCUUAAAACAAGAUUUUGUUUUAAAUGUUUGAAUGUAGCAGAUUGGUCCUUGGUUUGCAGCAAAUUGGGCUGCUUUCCCUAUUCUACAUGUAAUUAGGCUGUCCUUGGUGCAGGGGGGCUGUCAGUGUGGGACGUGGGGUGUCUAUAUGGAAAUUCUCGUUGCACUCCUUGAGCACACACCAGACACUAUGCUAGAUACCUUCCCAAAUGUUGUUCCCUGAAUUCUCACAAUAAAUAGACUGAGGAGAUAGACAGGUAUCCCAUGGUACGUAGAAGAAUAUCAAAACUUAAAGCGGUUAAAUACUUCCCCAUGGUCGCAGAGCUAAUCACUGGGGAGAACAUUCCCUAGUCCUGAUAGAUCUAGAUACGUUAUGUUCCAGCUCUGCUGUAUCCCAGCUGUGUGACCUAAGACAAGUGGAUUAACUUCUCUAUACCUCAGUUUUUUCAUUUAUAAAAUGGGAACAAUACAACUAUUCACCAGAUGGGGUUGUUGGAUGGAUUAAAUAAAAUAAUAUAUGUGCUUGGCAGAGUCUGGCCUGUACAAAGUCCUCCAAUGUUAGCUGUUGCUAUCAAUUUAGAAAAUAUGGUAAGUAUAACAUCAGACAUUAUAUAGCAGUGUUUCCAAAGUGCUUUCCGCUCUUGAGAUGAGGAAAUCAAGGCUGAGAGAAGGUGAGGGACUCAGUUGGGCCCUCCAGUCUUUUGUUCUGAUUGGUGAAGCCUACCACCUUGAGGGCAAUCUGCUCUACUCAAAGUCCACCAAUUUAAAUCUUAAUCUCCCCUAAAAACACCCUCACAGAAACAUUCAGAAUGGGGUUUGAUCAAAUAUCUGGGCUCUGUGGCCCAGCCAAGUUGACAAAUAAAAGACUCACCAUCACAAUAUCUUUGCCCAGCUUCAUCAAGAAUUUUCUGAGAGCUUAUGUGUGCCACUGGACUUCACCCCUAGGCCUCAGAUGUCCUAGGAAAGGGAGGCAGGGCUAUGGGAGAGGGCUGAGUCUUGAGCCCUGCUCGGGCCAUCUUUCUUCCUUCAGAAGAAAAAUGCUGGAAUGACACAAUUUACUUUAUUGUAUCAGACUGGAGGGUUAGAGGUGAGCAAUUUUUUUCAUCAUUUCUUCUGAUAGGGUUGUAAUGUUUUCAUUAUAUAUUAACUAUAAACUUGCAUUCAACUUAAUGAACCAGAGGGAAAAUGUGUUAAUAAUCUUCUUAAUUAUGGUACUUGUAUUAAGAUUUACUUAAGCAUUGUUCAUUUUUAAAAAAUCAAUUUUAUUGAGGUAGAAUUGCUGACUUCACAAAUAGAUUUUUAUAACACUCUAUAUUGUUGUUGAAACUUGAAGCUAAAUUCUGCAUAGACUGAAAUCUCACCAUUUGGACAUUAGGGGAAGGACACAUCUUGGAGACUGGCCUAAAGUGCUUGGGCAAAAAUCAGCCUUUUAAGUGUUAAAACUAUAACACAGAAAUCAUAAGGCAAUAGCUGUGUGGCAGUGUUAAGAUGAUUACAAUUAUUAGGUAAGCUUGCUAAGGUUGGUAAGUAGAAAUUCUCCUCUAGUAAACAAUGCAAACAAUAUUCCUAGAGGAAUACUCAAUGGGCCAGACAUCUAAAGCAUGCCAAAGGAAGGACUCCAGAAAAACUAAACCCUUAUACUUCAUUGCCCCUUACCACAGGAAGGCCAGGUAUCAUUCUUCUUAUUGACAGUAAGAGAAGUUCCAGGUUAUAGGGCUAUAGGGCAGCAGGGAACACGAGACCCACAUGGUCUUUCUUUUACAUUCCGAACUAUUGUUGGGGAGCCUGGGACACACAAUUCCGUCUAAGGGUACAGGGGUGAGUAGAGGAGAACGAAAGACAAAAAGUAAACGAGGGCCAUUGUUGCUUAUUGGCCCAAUGGAAAAUCGAAUCUGUUGAAAAAUCGUAUUGUCUAUUUUGACUUAGUGACUUCCCAUCAUACCCAUGUACGGGACUGAUAAAGGCAGAAGAAAAAAAGAAAAGAUGAGCACUUUAACACAAUUUACAGAUUACUGCUUUUCUCACCAACAAAAAAAAAAAAUCUCCCAAUCCUCGAGGAGUGGAA